UCCUACGGGAGGCAGCAGUGGGGAAUUUUGGACAAUGGGCGCAAGCCUGAUCCAGCAAUGCCGCGUGCAGGACGAAGGCCUUCGGGUUGUAAACUGCUUUUGUACGGAACGAAACGGUCUGGGUUAAUACCCUGGGCUAAUGACGGUACCGUAAGAAUAAGCACCGGCUAACUACGUGCCAGCGGCCGCGGUAAUACGUAGGGUGCGAGCGUUAAUCGGAAUUACUGGGCGUAAAGCGUGCGCAGGCGGUUUUGUAAGACAGGCGUGAAAUCCCCGGGCUCAACCUGGGAAUGGCGCUUGUGACUGCAAAGCUAGAGUGCGGCAGAGGGGGAUGGAAUUCCGCGUGUAGUAGUGAAAUGCGUAGAUAUGCGGAGGAACACCGAUGGCGAAGGCAAUCCCCUGGGCCUGCACUGACGCUCAUGCACGAAAGCGUGGGGAGCAAACAGGAUUAGAUACCCUGGUAGUCCACGCCCUAAACGAUGUCAACUGGUUGUUGGUCCUUAGCUGGAUCAGUAACGAAGCUAACGCGUGAAGUUGACCGCCUGGGGAGUACGGCCGCAAGGUUGAAACUCAAAUGAAUUGACGGA
rnacentral:rRNA from 1 species